UAGGGAAUCUUCCGCAAUGGACGAAAGUCUGACGGAGCAACGCCGCGUGAGUGAAGAAGGUUUUCGGAUCGUAAAACUCUGUUGUUGGAGAAGAACAAGUAGGAGAGUAACUGCUCUUACCUUGACGGUACCCAACCAGAAAGCCACGGCUAACUACGUGCCAGCAGCCGCGGUAAUACGUAGGUGGCAAGCGUUGUCCGGAUUUAUUGGGCGUAAAGCGAGCGCAGGCGGUUCCUUAAGUCUGAUGUGAAAGCCCACGGCUCAACCGUGGAAGGUCAUUGGAAACUGGGGAACUUGAAUGCAGAAGAGGAGAGUGGAAUUCCAUGUGUAGCGGUGAAAUGCGUAGAUAUAUGGAGGAACACCAGUGGCGAAGGCGACUCUCUGGUCUGUAAUUGACGCUGAGGCUCGAAAGCGUGGGGAGCAAACAGGA
rnacentral:rRNA from 1 species